GACAGAGGCCUCGAGCGUUAGGCGGAAUCACUGGGCUUAAAGCGUGUGUAGGCGGGCCCGUAAGUGUCUUGUGAAAUCCCACGGCUCAACCGUGGAACUGCUGGGCAUACUGCGGGUCUUGGGCCAACUAGGGGCAGCCGGAACAAGCGGUGGAGCGGUGAAAUGCGUAGAUAUCGCUUGGAACGCCGAAGGUGAAAACAGGCUGCUGGGGUUGCGCCGACGCUGAGGUGCGAAAGCGUGGGGAGCAAACAGG
rnacentral:rRNA from 1 species